GCUUACGGCCAUACCACCCUGAAUGCGCCUGAUCUCAGAAGCUAAGCAGGGUUAGGCCUGGUUAGUACUUGAAUGGGAGACCGCCUGGGAAUACCAGGUGCUGUAAGCU
rnacentral:rRNA from 1 species